CCGAUUAAUUACUCAAAAAAAAAAAACCCUUUUGUGCUCAGGGUGAUGUAACUGCAAUUACCUCUCAUUUCAGUGUGGAAAAGGUGUGAUAACCACUCAUUUGUGCAGCUGAAGGGUUUAACUGGGAGUUAUUACAGUGCACAGUGCAAUUGUAAUUAAAGCACGCGGGUUUCUGGUAUGAAAAGUCCUCAGACAUCAAGUGGCAACAAGAGAUGAAUCAGUCAUAUUAAAUCUCCAGUUUCUUUGUUCACGUCGUGUCAACCCCCAAAUUUCCAGUGUUGUCAGUGCUCACCUGGUUAAACACAGAGCUCCUGCAGAGCAAGCAGAGCACAGGGACACGGGGCAAUAAUAAUUUAAAUGAUAUUUACACAUUUGAAGUGAUUCCGAUGCUUCUGAUUAACUGGGAAUGGAUGAGUUUAGGAGUAAAAACAUCACCUUCUUUUUAGAAAGCAUCCCCCAAAGAAUAUGUGCACUGGAAAUCUGAUUGCUUUGCAUGACAUCAUGCAAAGUUGUACAAGUUUAAAUUUGCAGCUUGCAAAAAGCCAGUUUUCUGUGAGUGUGAAGGAAAAGAAAUCCUGUCCUGCUUUGGUGCUGAGGCUGGCAAGGAAAUCAGGAUGUUUGCCCUUGGCACAGGGUGGUGAGCGCUGGGUUAUCGCCUGGUCGUGUGGGAAUUAAGGCAGUUGCAGAGCUUGGUCUAACUGUGCAAAGCACUUCCAGCUUUCCCUAGUUGUAACUAUGUAGGAAUAAAGCCCUUAUUUUCCAUAGGGAUGCAGAAACACCCUCCAGCCACUUUUUCCUCAGGGUUUUGGAGGCAUUUUAUAAGCGAGUGAUAUUUGCCUGGCUGCCAGCAGUUAUCAUAAAUUGAUAAAUAAUCCAUUUAUGCCAAGUUGACUUGGAGUGUGUUGAAUUGUGAGUACAAGGGCUCCAAAUAACCAGGCAAAUUAGAGCAAAGACUGAUAAGAGAACAGACAAUCUGAUCCAAACCUGCUCCGUGGCAGAGAUCAGGUCGAUAAUAUUGUGCCGCAGGACACAGAGAAAGGAGUUUGGGUCAUAAAACUGCUGAAAAAUUGGCACAUUUAUCUUUCCUCACCACUUUUCUUCUGUCUCUAGAGAGUAGGAACAACCCUGAGAUCCCAUAAUGUGCAGAGUCAUGUGUGGAAACAUAAAUAUAGAAGAGGAGAGACCUCAGUGGGGUUGUCCCAAAGUGGCACCCAAACUGUGUCCGCCAGGAGCUGGUGUUGUAGGGAGAGGGAGUUCCUAUGGCAGCAGGAAUGAACUCUUUGCCAUUUUAUUUAGAAACCAGCACAAACUGCUCUGGUCUUAAAGGUGUCUUUGAGGAUAUAAAAGCUCUAAUCUUGGUCUGCUCCAGAGGCUUUUGUGGAGCUGGUUAGUGUUGGAUAUAUGGGCAGCUCCACCACAUUCCUUCCACAUCUGACGCCAAUACCUCUUCAAGAGCUUUUCGUGGCCCACUAAACUAAUUCAGGAGCUGCAGCAAGAAAGGUGCAAUGUGGACAGUACAGCUCCCUGCUGCUCUGACUGGACAGAGCAGACAUUCCUCGGCCUUGAAAUCCUCAUUAAUUUUGGGAUUUGUUUGGCUAAAACAGUGUCUUUUGCUCUACCAACAUCAGAAGCACUGACCUUUUAUACAAAAUAGGCACUUUAGUAAUACCCCCCCCUAUUUUUCAUGGCAAGUUGUCAUUUGUUGUUCAAAGCCCUUUAAGGUUAUCCUAUUAUUUGAAAACUUCAGAGGUUUCUUCAAAGAAGGAAACUGUGAAGAAAAUGUUUGAGCCCAUAAUCCUAUUUAGAGAUGGGAUUUUAGAGGUAAGAGGUCACCUCUUAGUUAAGGAUUCGUUAUUAGAUUGUUGUUUAAAAAAAAUAAGAGAAGAAAGUGGGGAGUGGGUAACACAUACUAUUGAUUCCUUUCAAUUAAAAUACUGCAGUAUUUUUAUUUUCAAAGGUAGAUGAACCCAGUUUUAAAAAGUUCCUGAUUUUUCUGGGCUGAUCAUCUAAAUAGAAAUCACAUUUAUUUAGAAUAACCUUAGUGGUUUAAAAUAUUGCAGUUUGAGUUUUCUCUGCUGUCUGGGUUGGAAUAGAAACAAAAGCCAUCUGCUUUUUAGCUUGUCAGGAGAUAUCCAUCAUCCCACUGGCAAUUUUGUUCACUGUGCUCCCAGCUGAUGGCUUCCCUCUGACUAAAUUCCCUGGAAAAGCACAGAAUCCAUAUGUUUGCUUGUCUCGGAAAUGGCAACGAAAAGCACAGCGUAAUGAAACAAAAUAAAUACAUUUCAGGCAAUAAAGAUGGAAAAAUAACAAAGCAAAAGGAGCCCAAGGGAUUUGUUCAAAUGAACAGAGCAAUUUCUAAAAGCCUAAUGGUGCAGUUCAGAUUGUAUAUAAUUGUAUAUUUGAAAACUCAGAUUCAUUGGGUAAAAAUUUUGGUAUUUUCUUCCUAUAAUUUAUAGUGGUUUGUUGGUUUGGGGUUGGUUUUCAGAAGUGACCUGGAAAUUCAGUGGGCCAGGUUCCAGUGGCACAGACGUGACCCCAGUGUGUGCGGCUGGAACUGAGCAGGUAAAGUAGCAAACAGUGAUUUGAAAUGUAUUGAGACUUGUAUUUUUACCCCCCGGGGGGUAUUUUAAUGCAGCAGCAAUUUAAGGCUGAUGUAUUUUAAUCAAUGCCUUGAACAAAUAGUUAAAGUCACAAAAUGGCUUCUGUUAAACUUCCCUGUUUUCAAACACCCAGAACUUCCACUGGCAGCACAGAUGGCCUGGAUUUGAUCUAUACCCCAAGCAGAUUUCUUGGGGUUGGUUACUUAGUUUUAUGCAUUAUUUAAAAAAAAUAAACCACCUUGGCUUCCUUUGAGUCAUGGCCAUCAUAAAAUCUGCACUUGGUAUUAUACUUUAUGAGGUAAAAUUGCAAAUUUGCUCUUCUUGGCUCUCCACGAGAGACCAGUUAAGUUUGAACCUGCAGAGCUGCCACAGAGCCACGUCCUGUCUGUAUUUUCACGUGUUUCAGCUUCCCCUCAGUGAGGACCUGCCGGGAUGAGGAUUUGAAGGUCUUGCUGCAGUUCAGACUCUCUCAUAAAGCAAUUUUCUAUUUUGACAACUUUGAAAAAUGACACAGUUUUGAAUAUUCAACAUUUGGAGAGCUAAUCCAGUAGUUUUUAACAAAGGCAGGUGAUUGUUUCUCUUUUUUAAACCCAAAUGAGGUGGGAUGUGAGUAACUUCGGUGGCAAAUUAAUUGUAGGUGGUUUCUGCCUUUUUUGCAGUGGCUGAAGAGCCGAUUUCUCUUGUAGCUGAUUCUGGCAGGUUUGUUCCACUUAAUGGUAAAAAGGUCAAUUGCAUGAGAAUAAAAAGGAAGAAAAAAUCUAAAAUGGCAUCUUUGAACUAGACAGGCAGUGAAAUUAAAAUUCUAAAUGGUUGAUAGGAGGCUUGGAAUGCCCCCUGAAUAGAAGACUAAACACAGUCACCUCCUUUAUGGAAGAAUCUUUUGUUGAAGGUUGGCUUUUCUAUCUUUUUGCUGAAUUUCCAUCAGCUAUUUUAUUGUCUAAUUACUGCCAGUAAAAGUUAUUUAUUUCUUUUGUCUAACAGCCAUUUCUGCAAGUUCUGUGCCCGCCUCAACCACAGAAAAACCUCUUUUCUUCAUUUCAUUGCCUAUAUUAUAAAGCACACUCUGUGUCUAAUCCCUCUUUCCUUUACAUCUUGAUUUUAGCAAUAAAUGUUGCCUGAAAGUUUAGAUCUAAUUAUUGAAAUCACUUGGGAAUCUCCUACGUACAGAAAGAUGAUCAAAACUCUAAUUUUUAUUUAUAGUCUCAGUUCUAAUUAAUGCACAUCUUUGUCUGAGCAAAAUUAUCCCCUUUCUGAUAUUUUUUUUCCAUGCUUUAUGGUUUGGGAUCAUCUCUACGUUUCAUCAAUAUCCAACUGGAUUUUUUCCUCCAGUUCAUUAAUAAAGAUAUUAAAUUGCACCAGCCAACAUAACAACAAACAUUGCUGGAUCUGUUCUUUCCCCUCGAGGUCUAUACCCUUUGUUUCCUUUACAGUUAAACAUUUCCAGUGUUUUCCUCCACGUCAAUCAGGUAUUGUCUUGCCAGAUUCCUUACUUUAAAAUUUCCUGGGUAUGAAAUUUUAGUCCAAUUAAAAGCAUCCUUCUCCUUCUUUCCCCUUUGCCCCGUCGGGUGAAUUUUUUUCCUCAUUUGUAUUUUUUGCAAAAUAAUUCAGUUUCAUCCAAAUGUUGAGUCUCUGCCAAACCCGAGAGGGACUUUAACUGGAACACAGCGGGGUUAGAGGUGGAAGUAUCCAUGGAAACAAACUUCCCUGCAGAUGUUCAGAUAUUCCUCGGGCAUCCCAAGCACGGGUAGAACGUGGGGCUGGUUCUGUCUUUGAAGGUUCACACCUGACCAGCACAGCCUGAGCUCUGUGUAAUGUCAGAUCCCAGCUCCAACAGGUACUUCAGAGUAAUUGUGCUGAAAUAAUGGAUCCACUUCCCUGGUAUUGUCUUUGUAGGGAAAAGCCUACAUUUUCUCAGUGUUCCUUCUCUCAGGUUGCAUCCUUAGCUCCAUUCUCUCCCAUUUUGCUCUGCUUUUUAAGCAGCUCUGUUAAAUCCUUGCCUUAACCUUUAUAUCAUUCCCCUCUCCUUGAACCUGAGCCGAUCCACAGCCGGGACUGCAGCCAAACCCUGCCUGCCUGGCUCAGCCAAGCAGUUCCAGCCAGGAAUAUCAGCCGUGGGAUUAGAUGGACGAACAUGGGAGAAGUAACCAGAAUGCAACAGCUCAACACCCUUCUCCCAGUCCAGCCCUCAGGCCCUGGACAUUGAGCUGGUCAAACAAACAGGCUCAGUUGGAUGUUGGGAAUGAAGGACAUCCCUGGACUUGGGUGAGAUCAAAGGAAAUGUCGACCACGAGCUUCCAGGGAGUGCUGCACCUUCCCAACCACUUGGGGAAUGAGUGGAAUUCCCUCCAGGAUGAACCAGGCUGGGAAUCGAGAUGGGAGGAAAACAACCCAUAUUUGAAAUUACUGCUGUAAAACAUCCCUGCCUGGAAUUCCAGUUUGGUCCAACGAGCAGGAAGGUGAUUCAGCUCUUUGCUUAUUGGACUUUGUCAGCUUUCCAUGGCUGAAGCAGAGUCUGAUGGAAUGACACAGCUCCCUGCCACCUGCAAAGCAGGGAUGGAUUUCUGAGAGGAACUGUCCUGCACUGGGAAACGUCUCUGAGAAGCCCCUGGGAUCUGCUGGGUGUUCCUGGAGAAGGGACACGAGGGGACUGUCCCUCCCUGGCCACUGCAGGGCUGUCUCCCAGAAGAUGGAGCUCUUUCCCCAGCACUGCUGAUGGAGACCUUAUCUGUAUCACAGGCCCAUAAGGCUGGGACACAGGAAUGCUCCUUGUGAGGCACUUGGAAACGUGCAGUUGAGCCCUCAAAACCCUUGAUGCAUUUUUUAGACGUGUUUCAGGUGCUGGGGUGGCUCCAGGUGGUGCCAGCGUGUCCCUCGGCUCCUCCGGCUCCUCCUCUCCUGGCACUGGAACCAGCUUGGGCAGCUCCAGCUCCCUGUAAGUCUGAGGGGUCUUGGUUUCUUUGGGUUUUGACACAAUGUUUGGGGCCAUUUUCUGCUUGGAAGGGAAUUGUAAAGCAAGUCCCAGGAGUCCUUCCAGAUCAACUUGCUAUUUGGAUUUAAGAACUGGACAUGGAAAACUUGUAUCCAAAUUUAUUUGAGACAGAGAUUUUCCUUUAAUGGCAUCUUGACCAUUGAAAAUAUAAAGUCAUGCAUUAAUGUUUUAGUUUACAGUUUAAUACAGCGUUCCUUGGAACACUUCAUACGUGAAGCCAGAGCAGAGAAACAGAGACUGUGUUUUCCUGACACACACUAUUGCUUUAAGGUACUUUUCACAUCACUUGAUUAAUUAAUUAAUGAAUUCUGCCACACAACUGCAGUUAUUUGGGAUACAAUCACUGUGGAAGGAAGGCAAAGAUGAUUGAUUAGAGCACAGCAGAGGAGCUCACUGAUGUCACCACGUGACAGAACAGGAUUGGAUCCCAGAGGUUUCCCUAAAAACAGACUGCACAGGGACUGCUCUGUGUGUGCCCAACUGCUCUGCUGGGCAGUCAUAUAAGGCAUUAAUAAAUUCAGCCGUAAAAAAAGGUGAUUUUUGAGGUUGCUGAAGCACUUUGUGUGUUAAACAAGCAGGAAUCCACUCCUUUAACGGGAUGUUUUCGCUACUUUUCCAUGCAGUGGCAGCAGAGUGGCCUGGCAGGAAGGUUCCAGAGCUCAGACCCUGUUGUCCUGAACUGGGACUAAAGCACUAUUUAGCAUUGCUUUGCAAAGACUAAAUCCCUGGUUUGAACAGCACAGGACUGGGCCAAAGCAGCUCCAUCGAACACCCGGCGGGAGGGAGAGCAGGGACUGAACCUCAGGCACAGCCCAGGGACACGGGGGAGAGCGGGGAUAAAGGCAGGGUGGUGGGGUGUGAAAUAAAGACAUUUUGGGGUGUG